rnacentral:lncRNA from 1 species
AGGUGAACUCCAAUGGCCGCCAUGAGGCAGCAGGGACGGCAGCGGCAGGAAUGAGGGGGUCCCCCGACAGCAACAGCUACCGGCCGCUCAACGGCCCCAUCAGGCACCGCGGAGCUUCACGUUCCCGCCAGCCCCCUGCGUCCGGUCGGCCGCUACAGCCUCCCGCGUCGCCGCCAAUCAGCGUGAAGGUUCCGCCUUUCUUCACGCGCAGUCCGCGAGUAGCUUCAGCGCGUCU